GAAUCUGUUACAUCUUGAUGUGUCAAGUUGAGUCCAUUUUUCCCUCCAUUACUGAGUUGGUUCCCAAAGACAUCCUCUGAAACCAGUCCACUUAUUUUUUGCUGAUUAGGUUGCAUUGCUCCAUCACCCUGAAGUGCAACCUGAAUAGGUGGCCCCAAACCAGGUGCAGUUGUCAUUUGUCGGACACCAGGAAUCCCAUGUUGAUGAGACAAACCUAAUCAUAAACAAAGAACAAUAACUGAUCCAAAACAUCUUGGCAUGACAGGAGGAAGGGGAACAAGAGGAUCAGAGUUUUACAAAGCCAAUUCAACCAAUACCAGGAGUAGGUGGCCGAGCCGCAUUUCCAAAAGAAGCUUGUUGGCCCAUCAUAGGGAACAAUGUCUCAUCAAACAAAAUAUUGCUUGGAAGCACUGCUGGAAGAGGCCGACCUUCCCUAUAUCGCUCCAUAAGAUAGAGUGCAGUGCAGAAUUCCC
rnacentral:lncRNA from 1 species